UACGUAGGGGGCUAGCGUUGUCCGGAAUCAUUGGGCGUAAAGCGCGUGUAGGCGGCCCGGUAAGUCCGCUGUGAAAGUCCAGGGCUCAACCCUGGGAUGCCGGUGGAUACUGUCGGGCUUGAGUACGGAAGAGGCGAGUGGAAUUCCUGGUGUAGCGGUGAAAUGCGCAGAUAUCAGGAGGAACACCAAUUGCGAAGGCAGCUCGCUGGGACGUUACUGACGCUGAGACGCGAAAGCGUGGGGAGCAAACAGG
rnacentral:rRNA from 1 species